rnacentral:lncRNA from 1 species
UAUAUAUGAGUUAAAAUAAAACGUCCAACAAGUGACAUAACUACAAAUAUAUACAUAACUCGCUAUGUAUCAUAGUUCAAAAUAACAACAUGGAUUUACUAAGUAAUCUAACCAUAUACAUAACAAAUUUAAUAUAUAAGAAGACAUCUCUAACACUAUUACAUAACUAAUUUAUGUAUAAGGUUGAAAUAACAACAAAACACUCUUAUAUAAUAAUGUAUAAGAAUGCGUAAAUCGACAAAAAAAUACAACUUCAAAAACAAAUUACUAUACCUUUGAAAGACGCGGUCGUGACAAUUCUUUACUUUUUAUCUUACCUGAAGAUUUAACAACGGAUUUUUUAGAGCUUGUACGAGCAACUUUCCUCAACUUCUUCAUCUUGGUGGAGUCGUUUCAAUGUUUCGAUCUAUUUUCUCUAAAACUCGGACCAGACUCCAUUACUAUGCUUAAGCCUUGAGAAUUACGCACAUGCAACAAGUAACUCGUAGAUUUUUGAUUUAUUAAAGUUGAAAAAAAUAAGAAAUUAAACUAACCCCAAAAAUAAAUUAAAAAGAUGAUGAUGUUCAACAACUGAUAAGAUAAGAUUUGUAGAUUCAAAUCUUGAAAUCUCUUAAUUAUGGUAGCUUGGCUUUGGGCAUAAAUUGUGGAGGUGUGAUAUGUAUUUGAAUUUGCAUUGGAGGUUGGAGAGAGAAAAUACAAAAAAUGGGAUAUUUG